rnacentral:rRNA from 1 species
GAUGAACGCUGGCGGCGUGCCUAAUACAUGCAAGUCGAGCGAACAGACGAGGAGCUUGCUCCUCUGACGUUAGCGGCGGACGGGUGAGUAACACGUGUAUAACCUACCUAUAAGACUGGGAUAACUUCGGGAAACCGGAGCUAAUACCGGAUAAUAUAUUGAACCGCAUGGGUCAAUAGUGAAAGACGGUUUUGCUGUCACUUAUAGAUGGAUCCGCGCCGCAUUAGCUAGUUGGUAAGGUAACGGCUUACCAAGGCAACGAUGCGUAGCCGAACUGAGAGGGUGAUAGGCCACACUGGAACUGAGACACGGUCCAGACUACUACGGGAGGCAGCAGUAGGGAACCUUACGCAAUGGGCGAAAGUAUGACGGAGCAACGCCGAGUGAGUGAUGACGGUCUUCGGAUCGUAAAACUCUGUUAUUAGGGAAGAACCAAUGUGUAAGUAACUAUGCACGUCUUGACGGUACCUAAUCAGAAAGCAACGGCUAACUACGUG